AAAGGAAUUGACGGGGACCCGCACAAGCGGUGGAUGAUGUGGUUUAAUUCGAUGCAACGCGAAAAACCUUACCUACCCUUGACAUGUCUGGAAUCCUGAAGAGAUUUGGGAGUGCUCGAAAGAGAGCCAGAACACAGGUGCUGCAUGGCCGUCGUCAGCUCGUGUCGUGAGAUGUUGGGUUAAGUCCCGCAACGAGCGCAACCCUUGUCAUUAGUUGCUACGAAAGGGCACUCUAAUGAGACUGCCGGUGACAAACCGGAGGAAGGUGGGGAUGACGUCAGGUCAUCAUGGCCCUUAUGGGUAGGGCUACACACGUCAUACAAUGGCCGGGACAGAGGGCUGCCAACCCGCGAGGGGGAGCUAAUCCCAGAAACCCGGUCGUAGUCCGGAUCGUAGUCUGCAACUCGACUGCGUGAAGUCGGAAUCGCUAGUAAUCGCGGAUCAGCUUGCCGCGGUGAAUACGUUCCCGGGUCUUGUACACACCGCCCGU
rnacentral:rRNA from 1 species